rnacentral:rRNA from 1 species
UAGUCCACGCCGUAAACGAUGAUUACUAGUUGUUUGUGAUACACAAUAAGCGACAAAGCGAAAGCAUUAAGUAAUCCACCUGGGGAGUACGUUGGCAACAAUGAAACUCAAAGGAAUUGACGGGGGCCCGCACAAGCGGUGGAACAUGUGGUUUAAUUCGAUGAUACGCGAGGAACCUUACCUGGGCUUAAAUGGGGAGUGACAGACUUAGAGAUAGGUUUUUCUUCGGACACUCUUCAAGGUGCUGCAUGGUUGUCGUCAGCUCGUGCCGUGAGGUGUCGGGUUAAGUCCCAUAACGAGCGCAACCCACGUCUUUAGUUACCAGCACGUCAUGGUGGGGACUCUAGAGAGACUGCCGGUGUAAACCGCGAGGAAGGUGUGGAUGACGUCAAAUCAGCACGGCCCUUACGUCCAGGGCUACACACGUGUUACAAUGGCCGGUACAGAGGGCAGCUACUAUGCAAAUAGAAUGCGAAUCUCGAAAACCGGUCUCAGUUCGGAUCGGAGUCUGCAACUCGA